rnacentral:lncRNA from 1 species
ACGGAUAUGAAUAGAAAUAAAUGAAAUUACGGAUAUGUACAUAAGGGCUGGGGGAAGGACUGGGCUUCGAAGGCCUCGGGUGGCCCCGGCUUUGCGCCUGCGCGACCCCCACGCUGCGCAUGCGCAAAGGCGUCCCGCCCACCCCGAUCACGUGGGAUGCGGGGAGGGGGGGGGCACGCGACCCCGCCUCCGUCGCCCUUUUACCUCAGCUCAGCCCGUUUGAAGUUAAUACUUUGACGCGCUGCCCCUGGUAAUUUUAAGUUUUUUAAUUGUCAGGCUUCGGUUCAUGAGGCGGGGAAAAAGGUAUAAAAUGUCAGCCUCAAAUAAUACUUUAAAAAAGAACUACAACCCCCCCCCCAAAAUACCUGGGCCUCGUUAUGAACUCUGAGGCAAGAUGGGGCAGAGCUGUGAUGUCCUGCCAUGGGCUCUCAAACUAAUCUCAUCACUGCCUCAUGCUUAGGAAUUUGAAAGGCAGAUCUCACCAUCCAUUCCCAGAGUCACUAGUCAGCGACUUUAUGCAACAGUGCUAAUUGGCAGUGAACGCAUAGCGACACCAAAAGCUACAGAGCCAUAAAAUACACAUUCUCAUUUAUGUCGGAAGGAGCAGAACUGGGCGGCUGAUGACUCAAUCAUCUCUGGAAGAUACUGUCAAAAGGCGGGAGAGGCCCUUCCCUCAGGAUUCCUGCCCCUGGAGAAGAGCCCGGCACCACGGAUGAAGAAAUGAGUUUCUUCUGAUGAGUGGCCAUUGAUUGGAGUAUCCGAGCUAGGAACUAGCAUGGGAAGCGGCAUGGUCUAGCGGAAAGAGUUCUACGGACAGGAAGCGCGGUAUUGUAUAUGGUGCUCCCUUGAAGAGAACUCUUGCUUCGGCCACCAUGCAGCCAGAGAAGAGGAUCCAAAAGAUAGAGAUGAUCACCUCUCUGAGAGUUCUGCAGGACGAGAACCAGUGCUGCUUAUUGUCCAAGAUUCGAUUGUCCAAGAUGUCGGGAAACUCUAACGAUGGAUGCCGGUUCAGCCAGGGGUGUCAAGUGUGCUGCAUUUGUGAUACUGAUCCUGUUUGUGCAGUAGUGAUUGAGUUGCUGAGGCAUAAACACAACCAACAGCUUUGCCCAUUGGUAGUAUGAAAUAUCACCGGCUUGCUCAGCAGCACAAAACAUAUAAGGUAAUUUAGCCCUCAUCUCUCCUUGCUGACUUUUCAGCAGUGUUUGAUUUACUCCUACAGAGCACUGAGCUAGUCUGGUUAUCCUCAUCAAAGCUGAGGGAGGAAUUUGCCUGAAAUGCUGUGGCUGGUGGUCCUGUGGAAAUAUGUCAGAGCAAAUAUUCAACUGGUCUCCAGAGUUGGGUUUUGUUUGUUCUGCAAGGAAGCUGUUUGUGUGUUAUGAGCUGAAUCCUGGCUUUUUGCAAAUGUAGACAACAGCUUUUUCCUCAACUGCCAAACUAGCAGUGAAUUCACCUUGCGUUAGUGGGUCUAAAUGCACUAUGCAGGUCACUCUUUUGGGAUUCAUCUGGCCACAGAGACUUGAUCUUUUCUGUGAGAUUUUCAAUAAUGCUCGGGUACUAUGAGGGUCUCUCAUCUGAUAUUUUUUCUCUCCCCACCUCAACUCUUUUACAUUUGCUUGAUUCUCAUUGGGUUGUAAAUUCUUCCAAAGCACCUUGUUUUUAAUUCCACUAGAAGUUCCCAGGCAGCUAGUAAAGUGUUCAGCACACAAUGAGUGCCCAGUACAGUGCUCUACCCUUAGCAGGUGCUCAGUACAAUGCUUUGCACAUGGUAGACACUCAUUAAUUAAUUCAGCUACUCAUUCGUGUCCUCCUCCUUCUCACCCAAACACAGACUCUUGAGCUUUGUACAAAUGAAGUCUUCCAGCAAGGACAAGAAUUCUUCCUGCUUUUGCCUCCUGUCAUGCUUUGGCUCCAAAGUUAAACCAUCAUUACAUUAUGCAGAUUCACAAGUUUGAUGGGUCCAGGAGAUCUGAAUCCUUAAGGUCCUUUAGGUUAAUGACUCUUGACUGAGGAACUCAAGUGAUUUUUCAGUGACUUCUCACCCGAAAACCACUGGAAGUAUCUUGCCUGCAGCUACUUGGAGGCUUAGGAUAUUUCAUCCUAAAGUGAUUCUUCUGACUGAGGGACAGUUGAUUGUUAAUGAACAAUACAAUUCCUUCAAAAUCCAACCAUCUCUGUGAUUAGAAAGCUUGACACAACAUUUUUGCUUGCC